rnacentral:rRNA from 1 species
GAAACUCAAAUGAAUUGACGGGACCGCACAAGCGGUGGAUGAUGUGGUUAAUUCGAUGCAACGCGAAAAACCUUACCCACCUUUGACAUGGCAGGAAUCCCGAAGAGAUUUGGGAGUGCUCGAAAGAGAACCUGCACACAGGUGCUGCAUGGCUGUCGUCAGCUCGUGUCGUGAGAUGUUGGGUUAAGUCCCGCAACGAGCACAACCCUUGCCAUUAGUUGCUACGAAAGGGCACUCUAAUGGGACUGCCGGUGACAAACCGGAGGAAGGUGGGGAUGACGUCAAGUCCUCAUGGCCCUUAUAGGUGGGGCUACACACGUCAUACAAUGGCCGGUACAGAGGGUAGCCAACCCGCGAGGGGGAGCCAAUCCCACAAAGCCGGUCGUAGUCCGGAUCGCAGUCUGCAACUCGACUGCGUGAAGUCGGAAUCGCUAGUAAUCGCGGAUCAGCAUGUCGCGGUGAAUACGUUCCCGGGUCUU